rnacentral:lncRNA from 1 species
GAUUCUGUAGCCGAGGGCUCCUCCCAGCUUCUGGAGCUGUCACAUCCGAAUUCACAAGGUUCCAAAGUCACCUUCCGGGCAGGGAGCCUAGGUUUCUGACUCAGCCCCGGGCCUCCCUGGAGCUUCUGGCAGCGCGGGCGGCACCACCUGCCGUGGGAGCGGCCAUCUGGCCCCGCUCAAGGACACCCGCCAGCCUCACACCUUGGUCGUCUUCCCAACUGCUUCUCUGGGGACCUGCUGGCCUCAGGGAUUGAAAUGACGUGGGAAGGGGGCCCCACCUGCAGUCUGAUUUCAACUCAGGCGUCUCCCCUGGGAGCCCUCGCAGAGGGAGGCAAGAGGAUUCCAGAAGCAGAUGAGCGCCGAAAAGCUGGGGCCUGCCCUUGGCCCUGCUUUUCCAAAGUCCUGAGGCCCACCCUCCACCGCACAGACCACUUAAGUCGGACUCUCAGGGUAGGGGUUCCAGGCCGUGGUGCAUUUUCAGGGCUUCCAGGUGAUUCUCUGCUGCCCAGUAGACGCCUCUCGCUCUGCAUCCCAAAGUCUCUGGGGUUCAGACCCAGCCAAGUGGUGUCACCUCUCCACCCCUUGGUGUUCACUUCUGCAAAAUGGGCCUGAUAAUAGCCUCCACUCCACGGCGUCCCGUCCCGUCUGUCUUUGCAAACAUCAUUGUACCUUCUGUUGUGUCUGUAGCGUGGGGCCACGUCUGCCACCUGCGGCCGUGGCAAGACUGGAUCAAGGCGCCGCCCGUCAAGGCUUCCGGGUCUAAAGCCACUAAACAAAUACCGGAUCCUGUCCUCUCAGGCAGAUCGCUGCGGGACCUGGCACCUCAGCAUCCCAGCUGUAAAAAUGGGGACACACCUCAGCGUCCCCGGCUGUAGCAAUAGGCUCGAAUUGAGAGGCUGAGCUUCCUGAAACUGUGGCAGCAGAGCUCACGGGGGAACCCAGAGCUCACAGCCAGUCCCGGGUUCCUGGGCCAGUGGACAGUUGUCCCUUUCUGGUCACUUGAUCCUGCCCCGGGGAAUGUGUGUGGAGGUGUGUGGGGAUGUGGGUGCCUGUUUAGGUGGGUGGGGCUGUGUGCACGUGUGGACAUACGUGCGAUUGUGGCAUGUAUGCAUCCUCACAUGGUGUGUAACGUCCGUGUGUGUGUGUGAGUGUGUGCUUUCAUGCCUACCUGGUGGUGGUGUGCACUGCUGUGUGCAUACACACCAGUGUGUAUUUGCAUUGUGUGUCCACGUAUGUCAGUGUGUACCAUCUGACUGGAACAGCUUGGAUCCCAUGUUGCUGUGGCUCUGGCAUAGGCUGGUGGCUACAGCUCUGAUCAGACCCCUAGCCUGGGAACCUCCAUAUGCUGCAGGUGCAGGCCUAGAAAAGGCAAAAAGACAAAAAAAAAAAAAAAUAGUGGAGGGGGGAGCGUGGGCGAGGAGACAGGGCUCUGCCAGCUCAGCCGAGCAUGGGCUGCAAAACGGGAGGACAGUGCUUCCCAGAGAAGGUGCUAGAGCAUGUCUGGCUGGGCGUGUCAGCUGACUCCAGCCACAUAACAAGUUACUCCAAACCUGGGCCACUCCAAUGCUGCUGCUCUCCCAUUGUCGGUGGGUCAGGAGUCUGGGUGCUGUCCCACUGGAUCUCUGGCUUCGGGGUCCCUCCCGGGCUGUGCCCCCGGUGUCCUUUGGGGCUGCUGUCUCAUCUGAGGGCUCCCUCCCCGUCACUGGCAGGAUUCAGCUCCUCCAGGGCUUUUGAACAGAGGGAGGGCCUCGGUCCCUCGCUGGAGGUUGGCUGGAGGCCUCACUCAGUCCCUGCCACGUGGUCCUCUCCCACGUGGGAGGUCCCACAAGGCCCUCUGCUUAUGCAAACGAGCAAGCCAAGGUCACAGAGUGUGUGUGGAGCAGAGAGGGAACCGCAGUCUUUUAGGCAAAUCUCACCGGUGACAUCCCAUCGCUUUUACCAUAUUCUGGUCCCUCAAGGGAGGUCCCCAGGCCCCGCCCACACGGAGGGGGCAUGGACCCCGGUGCGGGGAGAGGGUGGAGGCUGAUGGGGAGCCUGUCAAAGCUGCCCCCCAGCGGGAGAAGAGAUCCUCAGAGAGUGAGCUGCUGGUGUUUCUCUACCUGUGCCCUGCGAGUCCUCAAAAUAAAAUCAGGGAUGUUUCUGCAGAACCUGGGCUCACCAGAGAUGAGGGGCGUGUUGUGUCUGAGGUUGGGGUGCCUCCCGCGGGCCCCCCUGGGGCGGGGUUUCGGGAACUGUCUGCAGUGCUGGGAGCGAGGCGGGGCAGGGGGCACCCAUCCUGUUGCUGGAAAACAUCUCUGUGACCCCAGCCCUCGGCGCUGGCUGCAGUUAAGGCGAGAAGAGCCACUUGGCAGCAUCCUUCUGCUCUGCAGGUCCGGGGCUCUCUGGCGCCCUGGUCCAGGGCGCAGGGCUGGGACACCCCCAAGAAAGUGGCCCAGGUUGUCCAGGCCGCCUCCCCAUCAGUGCCCCUGGAACCCUGGCUGUCGGGGCCAGCUCCAUCUUUUGGGGUCUCCGUGCAAGAGCAGAGUCAACCUCGCCUUUCUUCGGGCCUCCCAGCCCAGCCCACUGCAGACGGUUCCAGGGGAUCCCAGCCUCCACCCCAGGACCCGCUGAGUUCCUGGGGUGUAAGAGGGACAGAUGGUCCCCAACACUGCCAUCUCAGGGCCCCGCUUCGACCCCCGUGGCCCCCAGGGGCCCGGGCCCUCACCAGUGGCCGUGGUGGAGGUGAUGACAGGAUGGGAGCCGCCCCACACCCCACGCACGCUGGCUGCUGAUCUGGGGCUGGGGGGCUGGACUGCUGCUCAGCCCAAGCUUCAAGCCCCCUGUCAUACUAUUGUCCCAUCUGACCUCACUUCGAAGACACAAAUCAAAAGAUGAAAUGAUGGGAGUUCCUAUCGUGGUGCAGCGGUUAACAAAUCUGACUGGUAUCCAUGAGGACGCAGGUUCGAUCCCUGGCCUUGCUCAGUGGAUUAAGGAUCCAGUGUUGCCGUGAGCUGUGACGUAGGUGCAGAUGCAGCUCGGAUCCUGCUUUGCUGUGGCUGUGGUGUAGACUAGCAGCGUAGCUCCGAUUCAACUCCUAGCCUGGAAACCUCCAUAUGCCACAGGUGCGUCCCUAAAAACCGAAAAAAAAAAAAAAA